rnacentral:rRNA from 1 species
AGCGAACGCUGGCGGCAGGCCUAACACAUGCAAGUCGAACGAACCUUUCGGGGUUAGUGGCGGACGGGUGAGUAACACGUGGGAACGUGCCUUUAGGUUCGGAAUAACUCAGGGAAACUUGUGCUAAUACCGAAUGUGCCCUUCGGGGGAAAGAUUUAUCGCCUUUAGAGCGGCCCGCGUCUGAUUCGCUAGUUGGUUGAGGUAAUGGCUCACCAAGGCGACGAUCAGUAGCUGGUCUGAGAGGAUGAUCAGCCACAUUGGGACUGAGACACGGCCCAAACUCCUACGGGAGGCAGCAGUGGGGAGUCUUGCGCAAUGGGCGAAAGCCUGACGCAGCCAUGCCGCGUGAAUGAUGAAGGUCUUAGGAUUGUAAAAUUCUUUCACCGGGGACGAUAAUGACGGUACCCGGAGAAGAAGCUCCGGCUAACUUCGUG